UACGGAGGGGGCUAGCGUUGUUCGGAAUUACUGGGCGUAAAGCGCACGUAGGCGGCUUUGUAAGUUAGAGGUGAAAGCCCCGGGCUCAACCUGGGAACGGCGCGCGAAACGGGAGGGCUGGAGUUCGGGAGAGGAGAGUGGAAUUCCCAGUGUAGAGGUGAAAUUCGUAGAUAUUGGGAAGAACACCGGUGGCGAAGGCGGCUCUCUGGACCGAGACUGACGCUGAGGCGCGAAAGCGUGGGGAGCAAACAGG
rnacentral:rRNA from 1 species